rnacentral:rRNA from 1 species
UACGUAGGGUGCAAGCGUUGUCCGGAAUUAUUGGGCGUAAAGAGCUCGUAGGCGGUUUGUCGCGUCUGCUGUGAAAACCCGAGGCUCAACCUCGGGCCUGCAGUGGGUACGGGCAGACUAGAGUGCGGUAGGGGAGAUUGGAAUUCCCGGUGUAGCGGUGAAAUGCGCAGAUAUCGGGAAGAACACCUAUGGCGAAGGCAGCUCUCUGGGACGGUACUGACGCUGAGACGCGAAAGCGUGGGGAGCGAACAGG